GGCCAGGGCGUAGCUCAGUAGAUAGCGCCCCACCACAGAGACCGAGGUAGCAGUGCCCUGAGGCAGUCUAGCUUAGGGGUCUAGAAGACUAGAAUCAAAAUAUACUAAACUUGUAAAAUAAAUGAUGUAAUAUAUAUAUUGUGAUUGUAAUCGGAAGUGUCAUGUAAACUGAUUUGAGAUGUACUUAGCUGAAUGCUUGUAAUAACAAGUAGAUUAUGUAUUUGAUACUUCCUUAUGCAAUCUGGAUUGAUAUCCGUUCCUUGUUGGAACAUUCGUUGAUUGUUUGGAUUGCGACGCCUUGGACGUACUGGGGAGACUCUGUCCGCGUACAGGGGAAUUCCCGGUCCGUUCGGCGAUCUGUCGUUGGCGCCGCGACCCGGUCCAAAUAGGCAGUUGGUCGCGGGGCGUGACAAGAUGAUACUCUGGUAGUAAGUCUUUG
rnacentral:lncRNA from 1 species